rnacentral:rRNA from 1 species
GGGUUGUGAGGUUAAGCGACUAAGCGUACACGGUGGAUGCCCUGGCAGUCAGAGGCGAUGAAGGACGUGCUAAUCUGCGAAAAGCGUCGGUAAGGUGAUAUGAACCGUUAUAACCGGCGAUGUCCGAAUGGGGAAACCCAGUGUGAUUCGUCACACUAUCGUUAACUGAAUACAUAGGUUAACGAGGCGAACCGGGGGAACUGAAACAUCUAAGUACCCCGAGGAAAAGAAAUCAACCGAGAUUCCCCCAGUAGCGGCGAGCGAACGGGGAGCAGCCCAGAGUCUGAAUCAGCUUGUGUGUUAGUGGAACGGUCUGGAAAGUCCGACGGUACAGGGUGAUAGUCCCGUACACCAAAAUGCACAGGCUGUGAACUCGAAGAGUAGGGCGGGACACGUGGUAUCCUGUCUGAAUAUGGGGGGACCAUCCUCCAAGGCUAAAUACUCCUGACUGACCGAUAGUGAACCAGUACCGUGAGGGAAAGGCGAAAAGAACCCCGGCGAGGGGAGUGAAAAAGAACCUGAAACCGUGUACGUACAAGCAGUGGGAGCACCUUCGGGUGUGACUGCGUACCUUUUGUAUAAUGGGUCAGCGACUUAUAUUCUGUAGCAAGGUUAACCGUAUAGGGGAGCCGCAGGGAAACCGAGUCUUAACUGGGCGUUAAGUUGCAGGGUAUAGACCCGAAACCCGGUGAUCUAGCCAUGGGCAGGUUGAAGGUUGGGUAACACUAACUGGAGGACCGAACCGACUAAUGUUGAAAAAUUAGCGGAUGACUUGUGGCUGGGGGUGAAAGGCCAAUCAAACCGGGAGAUAGCUGGUUCUCCCCGAAAGCUAUUUAGGUAGCGCCUCGUGAACUCAUCUUCGGGGGUAGAGCACUGUUUCGGCUAGGGGGUCAUCCCGACUUACCAACCCGAUGCAAACUACGAAUACCGAAGAAUGUUAUCACGGGAGACACACGGCGGGUGCUAACGUCCGUCGUGAAGAGGGAAACAACCCAGACCGCCAGCUAAGGUCCCAAAGUCAUGGUUAAGUGGGAAACGAUGUGGGAAGGCACAGACAGCCAGGAUGUUGGCUUAGAAGCAGCCAUCAUUUAAAGAAAGCGUAAUAGCUCACUGGUCGAGUCGGCCUGCGCGGAAGAUGUAACGGGGCUAAACCAUGCACCGAAGCUGCGGCAGCGACACUAUGUGUUGUUGGGUAGGGGAGCGUUCUGUAAGCCUGCGAAGGUGUGCUGUGAGGCAUGCUGGAGGUAUCAGAAGUGCGAAUGCUGACAUAAGUAACGAUAAAGCGGGUGAAAAGCCCGCUCGCCGGAAGACCAAGGGUUCCUGUCCAACGUUAAUCGGGGCAGGGUGAGUCGACCCCUAAGGCGAGGCCGAAAGGCGUAGUCGAUGGGAAACAGGUUAAUAUUCCUGUACUUGGUGUUACUGCGAAGGGGGGACGGAGAAGGCUAUGUUAGCCGGGCGACGGUUGUCCCGGUUUAAGCAUGUAGGCUGAUUGUCCAGGCAAAUCCGGAUAAUCAAGGCUGAGGUGUGAUGACGAGGCACUACGGUGCUGAAGUAACAAAUGCCCUGCUUCCAGGAAAAGCCUCUAAGCAUCAGGUAACAUCAAAUCGUACCCCAAACCGACACAGGUGGUCAGGUAGAGAAUACCAAGGCGCUUGAGAGAACUCGGGUGAAGGAACUAGGCAAAAUGGUGCCGUAACUUCGGGAGAAGGCACGCUGGUGUGUAGGUGAAGCCCCUGCGGGUGGAGCUGAGACCAGUCGAAGAUACCAGCUGGCUGCAACUGUUUAUUAAAAACACAGCACUGUGCAAACACGAAAGUGGACGUAUACGGUGUGACGCCUGCCCGGUGCCGGAAGGUUAAUUGAUGGGGUUAUCCGUAAGGAGAAGCUCUUGAUCGAAGCCCCGGUAAACGGCGGCCGUAACUAUAACGGUCCUAAGGUAGCGAAAUUCCUUGUCGGGUAAGUUCCGACCUGCACGAAUGGCGUAAUGAUGGCCAGGCUGUCUCCACCCGAGACUCAGUGAAAUUGAACUCGCUGUGAAGAUGCAGUGUACCCGCGGCAAGACGGAAAGACCCCGUGAACCUUUACUAUAGCUUGACACUGAACAUUGAGCCUUGAUGUGUAGGAUAGGUGGGAGGCUUUGAAGCGUGGACGCCAGUCUGCGUGGAGCCAACCUUGAAAUACCACCCUUUAAUGUUUGAUGUUCUAACGUUGGCCCCUUACCGGGGUUGCGGACAGUGUCUGGUGGGUAGUUUGACUGGGGCGGUCUCCUCCCAAAGCGUAACGGAGGAGCACGAAGGUUAGCUAAUCCUGGUCGGACAUCAGGAGGUUAGUGCAAUGGCAUAAGCUAGCUUGACUGCGAGCGUGACGGCGCGAGCAGGUGCGAAAGCAGGUCAUAGUGAUCCGGUGGUUCUGAAUGGAAGGGCCAUCGCUCAACGGAUAAAAGGUACUCCGGGGAUAACAGGCUGAUACCGCCCAAGAGUUCAUAUCGACGGCGGUGUUUGGCACCUCGAUGUCGGCUCAUCACAUCCUGGGGCUGAAGUAGGUCCCAAGGGUAUGGCUGUUCGCCAUUUAAAGUGGUACGCGAGCUGGGUUUAGAACGUCGUGAGACAGUUCGGUCCCUAUCUGCCGUGGGCGCUGGAGAAUUGAGGGGGGCUGCUCCUAGUACGAGAGGACCGGAGUGGACGCAUCACUGGUGUUCGGGUUGUCAUGCCAAUGGCACUGCCCGGUAGCUAAAUGCGGAAGAGAUAAGUGCUGAAAGCAUCUAAGCACGAAACUUGCCCCGAGAUGAGUUCUCCCUGAGACUUUAAGUCUCCUGAAGGAACGUUAAAGACGAUGACGUUGAUAGGCCGGGUGUGUAAGCGCAGCGAUGCGUUGAGCUAACCGGUACUAAUGAACCGUGAGGCUUAACCUUACAACGCCGAAG